rnacentral:lncRNA from 1 species
GGUAUCCUGCCAUUUUGGAUCAGGGCGGUUGACGGUGGAUUCACUUCCCAUCAGCCCUUGAGGCUGCAGGGACCAGCCCUUUGUACAGUGGAGAAGCCCAGGCGGCCUAGAAUCCAGUGUCGUCCGUGAGUGCUUGGCUGGUGUUCAAGUGCAUCUUCCAGCCUGAGACCGCGUGGACUCGCUCAUCGUGAGGGCGAGAGGAGGAUAAGCCCAUUGGGCUGUCGGCUGAGAGUGAGAUUGCUGAUGAAAUCCUUGGCAUCGUCGGAGAUCUCAUCGAAUGCCUCGUCGUCGAAGUCCCAGGUGGCUGAGGUAACGUUGGCCAAGGUUUCGUUAUCGUUGUCUCCCAUGAAGGGGGAAAGGCCACUGACUCUGGAGAGACAAGAGCAGGACAGCAGGUGUGGCUAGGAGAGGGCGCGACGACCAGAUGAGGGAAUUGAGGCACAGCCCAGGCUCAAGUCACCUGCCCAAAGAUUCACAGCCAGUGAGAUUGGAAGCCAGGUAUCUGCCUCUAGAGCCUGUCCUCUUAAAUGCUAUACUAUCCUAACAUUUCUGUAAAGAUGAAGUAAAUUGCAGUGUUCAGCACUGGCACCAGGCCUGGUCCACAGUAAGGAGGCGGUCCAUGCCCGGAGAUCUCAUGCAGUUCUGCUGGGUUCCCUCCACUGCCUUACCAAGCUGUGAGUGCAGGAAUGACUUUGUGACCAGCAGCUUAAGCCAAAUAAACUUUAUAAGGUAAAGAAUUUCAAAA